rnacentral:rRNA from 1 species
AACGCUAGCUACAGGCUUAACACAUGCAAGUCGCGGGGUAACAUCUGGUAGAGCUUGCUCUUCCAGGAUGACGACCGGCGCACGGGUGAGUAACGCGUAUCCAACCUGGCCCAUACCACGGGAUAGCCCGUCGAAAGGCGGAUUAAUACCGUAUGCUGUCAUUAAGAUGCAUAUAUUGAUGACGAAAGGACUGGCGGUAUGGGAUGGGGAUGCGUCUGAUUAGCUUGUUGGCGGGGUAACGGCCCACCAAGGCGACGAUCAGUAGGGGUUCUGAGAGGAAGGUCCCCCACAUUGGAACUGAGACACGGUCCAAACUCCUACGGGAGGCAGCAGUGAGGAAUAUUGGUCAAUGGGCGCAAGCCUGAACCAGCCAAGUAGCGUGAGGGAAGACUGCCCUACGGGUUGUAAACCUCUUUUGUUUGGGAAUAAAGUGCGGGACGUGUCCCGCAUUGCAUGUACCAUUUGAAUAAGGACCGGCUAAUUCCGUGCCUGCAGCCGCGGUAAUACGGAAGGUCCGGGCGUUAUCCGGAUUUAUUGGGUUUAAAGGGAGCGCAGGCCGUGGGUUAAGCGUGUCGUGAAAUUCCGUCGCUCAACGGCGGACGUGCGGCGCGAACUGGUCCACUUGAGUACGCGGGACGUUGGCGGAAUUCGUGGUGUAGCGGUGAAAUGCUUAGAUAUCACGAAGAACUCCGAUUG